UACGGGGGGUGCGAGCGUUGUCCGGAAUCACUGGGCGUAAAGGGCGCGUAGGUGGCGUCGUAAGUCUGUGGUGAAAGCCCGGAGCUCAACUCCGGGUCUGCCGCGGAUACUGCGAGGCUUGAGUGCUGUAGAGGGGGGUAGAAUGCCGGGUGUAGCGGUGGAAUGCGUAGAGAUCCGGCAGAAGACCGGUGGCGAAGGCGGCCCCCUGGGCAGUAACUGACACUGAGGCGCGACAGCGUGGGGGAGCAAACAGG
rnacentral:rRNA from 1 species